rnacentral:lncRNA from 1 species
AAUGAAUUUGGAGUCACCAAACACAGAACCUAGCUCAGAUCUCGAUGAAGAAGUUCAGGACCAAUGUGAUAAAACAAUGACACGCCCUGGAAGUAGCUCUGCAAAUAUUUCUACAAAUUCCCAAGAAUGGUUCCGAGUAGGAUUGAGCCAUUCUGAAGUUGACCAAGAUAACGCCAAUGCUGUUUCCUGUUAGUCAUUUUAUGAGUAGAACAUCCGAACUCCUACAUUCCAGUAUUCUAAGCUGAAGACAAAUAAAUCUUGUUCCUCUCUGGUUUUAAGGGGUGAU